ACUCAAAGGAAUUGACGGGGACCCGCACAACCAGUGGAGCGUGUGGUUCAAUUCGAGACGAAGCGAAAAACCUCACCAGGGUUUGACAUGCAACUGCAAAUCUUAUGAAAGUAAGACUCUUUCGAAGGUGUUGCACAGGUGCUGCAUGGCUGUCGUCAGCUCGUGCCGUGAGGUGUUCCCUUAAGUGGGGAAACGAGCGCAACCCGUGUGAAAUGUUACAUAUUCAUUUCAGACUGCUCUGUUUUUUCAGAGAGGAAGGAGCGGAAGACGUCAAGUCAGCACGGCCCUUAUACCCUGGGCUACACACACCCUACAAUGGCGAAAAACAACGAGCCGCAAGUCAGUGAUGGCAAGCUAAUCUCUGAAAUUUCGCCUCAGUUCAGAUUGGAGUCUGAAAUUCGACUCCAUGAAGUCGGAAUUGGUAGUAAUCGCGGAUCAGCAGGCCGCGGUGAAUACGUUCUCGGGUCUUGUACACACCGCCCGU
rnacentral:rRNA from 1 species